UCAAAGCCUUUGGAACAAAGCUGCAACUUUUCCUAAGGCAGUUGUCACAAACACAGCCCAAUCCCAUAAAUUUUUCAGCGUUACAGGAAAUAAUAAACAGUUUUCCACAGGACAAUAUCAGUGCGCAAACGAGUAGGUAAAACGGCGCUUUCAGGAUUUUGCUGCUAUUGAAAGGGAGAUCAGCCUUUUCUCCUCUCCAUUCUCUGUUGACCCCAAUGAUGCUCCAGAUCAGCUGCAGCUCAAGCUCAUUGAGCUGCAUUGUGACAGAAAGUUACGCAUUUGUCACAAACAGCUCUCUCUUAUGAACUUUUACCGCCAUCUGAAUAAGAGCCGGUUUCAAGAGAUUCGAACAUUGGCUAAGAAAAUGCUGAGCUUGUUUGGCUCAACAUAUUUGUGCGAGAAGACAUUCUUUGCUAUGAACUUUAACAAGAACCGUGUGAGGACAAGACUAAGUUCCUGUUCAGAUUUUUUUAACUUAAAAGUUGACAUACAACCUUUAUUACUAAUAAUAUGUUAUGUACUUUACAAUGUUCCUGACAUAUAUUUUAGCGUCCUGGUUUUUUU